UUAUGUUGUAUCCGAGCCUUCAGAGUUCGCAUAUCUCUUUCGCUCUCAACAAAAGUAUGAACCGCGUGCUAUUACGUGAUUUUGCAUUGCCGAAUUUUGGAUAAUAUAAUAAUUUGAUUCUUAUUGAUUUCAAGUAUUUAAUUAUUUCUGCUUAUAAUUGAGUAAACUGGAUCUCCAAAUUUAGUGCAAGAAAUUGUUUAUUUUGUGUUCAUAAUGGUUUAUCAUAGUGAAUUUCGAAUCUAAUCUUUUUUUGGAUGCAAAAUAAGAGAAAUAAAGUAUUGGAUAUGAACUUCUUUUUACCUUUUCCAAUAAUUCUUGAUUUAUUUAUUGCCUUCAGAAUCCAUAAUUAGAGGUGGAAAGAGGAAAGAAAAAUGGAAAUUACAUAUGUUUUCCGCUUUCUGAUUAUUCAAGACGUGCUUAGAUGAUUGUGGAUAUGGUUCUUGGUAUUAUUGUAAAAUGGGUCUCUUAUUUUACUUUCUUGUUAUAAAUUGUUGUAGGAAGGAUUAAGGAAUUGUGAUAAAGAAUCCUGUCAACUCCAACCGCAGGGUUCUAAUUGAUGAGUAUUGAUGUAUGCUUACAAAGAGUGUUGAGAGUUAUUUCGCUCUCGGAGUUAGCUGACAUUAUGAAUUUUUAUUGCUGGAAGACAUUUGACAGGCAGGGCAAUUGACUUGAAUUGCACAAAAUAAUAGCUCAACUUAACCGUCAACCAUAAGAAAUUUAUAAUCUCAAAAGAAAGAGAAUUUUAGUUGGAGUGAACUAUGAAGGAAGUUGAAAGGAGACACAAUCUUGCCAGAGCUGCAGAACUGAGAUAUGAGCUAUUUGAGUGGCUUGAAGCAAGUGCGACUGAGAAUGGAAUGCUUUCACAUAUUUUGGACUGUAUAAUGUUGUGGAAGUCACGGGUUUCUGUUUGGGAGGCUUGAAGCAAGUGCGUAUGAGAAUGGAAUGCUUACACAUUCUUUGGGCAAUAUCAUAUUUUGGAAGUCACGAGCUGUGGGAAUAGAAGCAUGAAUCUUGGCCAAAAUGAAAUUCAGAGAUUGAUUGCUCUUGCUUGACAGAAUCAAGCAGUGCUAGCUGUUGCUGAGGCUGUGUUGAGGUCGAGACUAUUGUUGGUAACAGAGAACUUGUUAAGGCUUUAGCUGAGCGACUAGUUGGUGAUUAUAAUCUGGUGAUAGAAAUGAAGGGUCUAUUCAUGGAGCAUCACUCCAUUGCCCAAUUGAGUGGAGCUCCUCCUUGGUAAGUUUUAUUGCAUUCACAUUUUAAUUCAGUUUUUCGUGAACUGUGAUGAAUGAUGAUGAAAGCUAAUUGGGGUGGCAAGUUAUAAUCUAAUCUUUUUCUGUGGUAAAAUUUUCAAAUUGUGCCCCAUCACUAGACUGUCUUUAUGAUUGUAGCUUGACACUAUUACAUGGAUAUACCCAUUGAUACUUACAUUCAGGGACACAGCCAUCAGUUACUUCAAAUUAGAAACACCCAUAUACAUAGAGAGUCUGCCAUAAAAUGUAAGUAGAAAUGGAUGUCAAAAAGAUUAUUAUUGUGAAUUGCCUGCAUUUUUAUCCUAUUUCUACCAUUGUACUUGUAAUUACGACAAACAUAACUUUCCCAUAGGCAAUAAUUGAGAGUAUGCAAGGUGGAGGAUGGUAACUCAACGAAUGGAUUGGGUGGUCGCAGGAGGUGGUGUUGCUGGUGGAUGUAGAUUUCAUUUCUGGCUUCGGCUUAUUUUAAACAAGGAUGAUUAUCUGAGUUAAGGACAUUGC
rnacentral:lncRNA from 1 species